rnacentral:rRNA from 1 species
GCUGGUGUUCGGGUUGUCAUGCCAAUGGCAUUGCCCGGUAGCUACGUUCGGAACUGAUAAGCGCUGAAAGCAUCUAAGCGCGAAGCAGGCCUCGAGAUGAUUUCUCACUAGACUUUUAAAGUCUCUGAAGGGCCGUUGAAGACUACAACGUUGAUAGGCAAGAUGUGGAAGUGGUGUGAGCCAUUAAGCUAACUUGUACUAAUUACCCGUGAGGCUUAACCAUACAACGCCAAACGCGUUUUG